GAAAGAAAUGAGAUUAUAAAGACAGCUGGACGCGCAUAGUAGAAAUGAGGAUAAAAGCAACUGAUAAGGGUAAAGAUAAAACAGUCUGAGGUCCUGUUUUCUAACUGCUUGAUCAACCUCUUUGCCUUUCUCUGGAUUCCUUCAACUAGUACAUAAAAAUCUGUAACUGCUGUGGGUAUAACAGGACAUGUCAGCCCAGCUCAGGCUGUCUCCCUCUGAGGAUGGAAGAGCACUUGCUAAGGAUGCUGAAGUACCCCAGCUAGGAAAAAAGGAGAGACUGGGAAGGGGUUAUUUCUGGAAAAGUAUAUACCAGGCUUGAGCCUUAAAGAAAAUUGACUGCUUGCUCUUUGUGGAGGCUGGACUUGCUCUGUGCUGC